rnacentral:lncRNA from 1 species
GAUGGGCAAGUAUGGAUCGCCUUGUACAAUCUACUGCUCAGUCCUGAGGCCCGAACCCGUUACUGCCUUACAAACUUUGCCAAGGGACAGCUGCUUAAGGUGGAGAACUCAAAGACCCUACCCAUCCCCACUGUGCCCCGCCCAGCCCCGCCCCGCCCCGCCCCCAUAGCAUCCCUGUCUGUCCCCGCCCUCUUUCCACCACUUGGGCUUCAGAGGACAAGGGAGUUGGAAAGAUGCAAACCCUCCCAAGUACUCUCAGCCCCAACUUCAGGACUUCCUGUCUUUGGGCCCUCUGGCUAGGAACAGUUUCCCAAUGGCCUUCCCUGGAUACCUUGCAGCUUCAGGCCUUCCUCACCGACACACUGCUUGACCAGCUGCCCAACCUUGCUGAUCUGAAGAGUUUCCUGGCCCACCUGGCCCUGGUUGAAACUCAACCCCCUAAGAAGGACCUAGUGUUAGAACAGGUGAGCCCCUAGAAAUUGAGUGCUUGGGACCACGGUCCACUUUUCUGGUUCCUUCCUUCCUAUCUCCAUUACACUCUUUUAGAUCCCAGAAAUCUGGGAUCGGCUGGAGCGAGAGAACAAAGGCAAGUGGCAGGCUAUCGCCAAGCACCAGCUUCAGCACGUAUUCAGCCUCUCCGAGAAGGAUCUUCGCCAACAAGCACAGAGGUGGGCUGAAACCUACAGGCUGGACGUCCUAGAGGCUGUAGCUCCGGAGAGGCCCCGCUGUGCCUACUGCAGUGCCGAG